GGUAAGGUAAUGCUAUGAAAAGGCGCGAAAAUUAUGUAUCGCGAUACGUAUCGUAUCGUGACCUUAGAAUCGUGAUACGUAUCGUAUCGUGAGAUUGGUGUAUUCGUGACACCCCUAGUUUUAAAUCACUAUAAAAC